rnacentral:misc_RNA from 1 species
AAAUAUUUAUCUGAAUAUUUUUCAAAAUAUAUUUUCACAUGCAAAGCACUUUUAGAAACACAAACACAGCCUUAAAAAUAAAUUCUGCACUUAAGAAUGUUCAUGCUGUGUAAUGUCAUAAUUAAGGUAGAGUUUCGUUGGCUUUCUGCAAGAACUGCACAGACUGUGGCCAGCAGCAGCUGCCACUCAUACGGCUACCAGAAAGGAUUCAAGUCAUUGCGCAAAUAUUCAGGAGGCAACACAUUAUUCCCCUCUUGAACAUGAUGAUGAAAAUUUACUGGCUGUGGGUGGCUCUGGAGGGAUCCACUCAAGGAACAUAUAUAGCUUAAUGUCCCAGUUUGUUCAGGAAGUGGCACAGCAUUCAGGUCUAGAGACCAUCCCUGCAAACCAUUAACUGCACUCCUGCCAGCUGACGUAUUACGCACAGCUGGUGAUGGUGAAUUCCUAGUUUGCUGCACCCGUUCAAAAUUGCCAUAAAUUGGACAGUUACUGCCAAGAGAACCAGAACCUAUCGAAGGUCUGAAAGAACUUUGUGCAACAUACCGAGGAUCGAGAAUAACCUGAUGUGCAAUGGACAAAUGAGGUAUGUUGACAGGAACAAUUCUCAAGUUCAAUGAUGGAACUUCCUGAGCUGAAAUCUGACUAACAGCCAUAUGAAGGGUACACGACAUAUCGAACAUGCAAGAGCAAUUCCUUUCAUAGUAAUGAAGGAGAACAUGGGAAGCAUUAAUCUCACUGGGCAGAAAAGGCCCAGUGUAAUAAUUAAUAUUAGGAUCUCCAGAAAAUAUUUCCCGUUGCUGGAUCCCAUCUUGAUAUCUAAGCAAUAACAAGUUCCUUAACCUGCAAAAUUCAGAAUAUCAGUAUAUGAGAAAAAGAAACACAAACACAAGUCACUAUAGCCCAGUGCUAUGGGCACACACCAUUUAUAAAGGAAGAUAGGAGCUGUGCUAUAAAUUUUAUCCAAAACAGGGUGCAAUGUGAUAGAAUGGGUUUCCAAUAAAGAAGUGAUGCAGCAUUCAAAAAGAUAUAACAUAUAUUUCUACAUUUGUAAAACUAUGAAAUCUAAUUUGAAAAUCUAUAAAAUGAAUCAGAGAUGGAAAUAACCCAAAGAAUUCAGAUACAAGAGAUUGUGUUCUCACAGUUCAUUAAGAGGACAAAAAAGGUAUUCUGGCAGCUGAAACAACAAUAAAAUUGACAAUGUUAGAAAAAUACCUUCAAAAACCAAUCACCAAUUAUAUAUGACAAUACUUAAAUAAAAACAAUCUAUUUUCUCAAGAAUGGCACCAUAAAGUUAUUGUAAUAAAAAACAUACUAGUUUAGUGGAGCUAAGUGUAGAUUAGAUAACUCUAAUAUUAAGUCUAUAGAAGCAUAAGCAUAUUAUUCAGAAUUGGAAUUAACAAAAUUGGUGAAAACUAGUUAAAUAUUUCCCGUAAUCAUGAGUAAGGAUGUUAAGUAUAAUAUUGGUCUAACAAUAAAUCAACGUGGCUUGUCAUGCCUGUAAUCAGACAUGUAGUCCUAUGUUCAAAGCUUCAACAUUAAGUAAUAAGUUAGCCUAUUUAUCGUUUGAAAUAAUAUAACCUAAAUAAACUAUUCUACAAAACACAUAAACUUGCCCUUUGAAUUCAAAAAUACACCCGUUUGCACGCAACAAGUCCAGUGAAUUCACAAAGACUCAACAACACCAAGUGCUUUGUACUCCACUAAUUAAGAUGACAUAAUUCAGACCAUUAAAGGACAUUUCAAGUGCUCCCCCAGUAUACAAUAGUAGAUUGAGCUGGAUAAUAAGUAAUAUAAAUCACCGAUGCCCUUGUUUCUACCAAUUCAAUAAAACGAUCAAUAUCCUCGUCAUUAGCAUCUUCAUCCAUGCUUCCUUCAGGACUGUUAUUCUCAAAACGCCUCCAUAAGCCAAUUUCAACUUCUCGACAGUUGGGGCAUUGCAUAGAACCUGAAGCAUUAAAUGCAGAACCAAUGCAAUCAAGAUGAAACAGAUGAGAGCAGCGAAGCUUGACGACAGUACGGCCACAGGUAUCGGAAACCUCCUCCAAGCAAACGGAGCACUUCACAGAUGAUCCGGCUACAGAAUUCGCCAUGGAAGCUCUCUGUUUCGAACCCUAAAUUGAGAAUUGGAGGAGAAUAGAUAGAUAUAUAGAUAUAUAUGCAUUGGAGGCUCACGGUUUUGGUAGGAAAGAUGGAAAGGGGACGUUUGUUUGGUUUUGUCAGACGAAGCUCCAAAUUUGGAAGUUACUUCAAUGCUCCCCGGCCGUUUAUAUACCUUUGGGGAUUUUGUGAG